UACGAAGGGGGCUAGCGUUGCUCGGAAUCACUGGGCGUAAAGGGUGCGUAGGCGGGUCUUUAAGUCAGGGGUGAAAUCCUGGAGCUCAACUCCAGAACUGCCUUUGAUACUGAAGAUCUUGAGUCCGGAAGAGGUGAGUGGAACUCCGAGUGUAGAGGUGAAAUUCGUAGAUAUUCGGAAGAACACCAGUGGCGAAGGCGGCUCACUGGUCCGGUACUGACGCUGAUGUGCGAAAGCGUGGGGAGCAAACAGG
rnacentral:rRNA from 1 species